GCCGGGCAUGGUGGCGGGUGCCUGUAAUCCCAGCUACUCGGGAGGCUGAGGCAGGAGAAUGGUGUGAACCCGGGAGGUGUAGGUUGCAGUGAGCCGAGAUCAUGCCACUGCGCUCUAGCCUGGGUGACAGAACAAGACCUCGUCUCAG
rnacentral:SRP_RNA from 1 species